AUUGAACGCUGGCGGCACGCCUUACACAUGCAAGUCGAACGGCAGCACGGGAGCAAUCCUGGUGGCGAGUGGCGAACGGGUGAGUAAAGUAUCGGAACGUGCCCAGUCGUGGGGGAUAACGUAGCGAAAGUUACGCUAAUACCGCAUACGAUCUAUGGAUGAAAGCGGGGGAUCGCAAGACCUCGCGCGAUUGGAGCGGCCGAUAGCAGAUUAGGUAGUUGGUGGGGUAAAGGCUCACCAAGCCGACGAUCUGUAGCUGGUCUGGGAGGACGACCAGCCACACUGGGACUGAGACACGGCCCAGACUCCUACGGGAGGCAGCAGUGGGGAAUUUUGGACAAUGGGCGAAAGCCUGAUCCAGCCAUGCCGCGUGCAGGAUGAAGGCCUUCGGGUUGUAAACUGCUUUUGUACGGAACGAAAAGGUUUGGCCUAAUAAGCUGAGCUCAUGACGGUACCGUAAGAAUAAGCACCGGCUAACUACGUGCCAGCAGCCGCCGUAA
rnacentral:rRNA from 1 species